GGGGGUGUACUGGUUUCGACGGGGGUUUUGAAGCUUGAGUAGCGAGUCGAUGUUGCCAAUCAUCGUUAAAAAUGGCGCAUAAAUAUAAACGCAAAAACAGAAAAAAGUUACGGGUUAGCUUUAGCAGCGUAAUUCGCUCUAAAGUUUAAUACUAAGACUUCGCAGCAUAAUUAAUGCUGCACGCCUCCCAACUCAACCUGUGGUUUUGGGUUUCGGCGUUCAUUGAAGCAGGGAACCGUUUUUGGUAGUGUCUCGCACCAUUAACGAUCAAGAGGCUGGUUCCACUUUUUCUAUGUCAUUGGAGAAAGAGGGGAAUAAGAAAAUAAACAAUGACUGCACUCGGAGAAGCUCCUGUGAAUGGACUUUCGGACAGGGGUUCGACUCCCCUCACCUCCACCA
rfam:Acetobacterium wieringae strain DSM 1911 ACWI_contig000037, whole genome shotgun sequence.